rnacentral:tRNA from 1 species
AGCAGCAUGGCCUAGUGGAAAGGCUACAGGCCUGGAAAUCAGAGGACCUGGGUUCUAAUCCCAGCUCUGCCA